AUGGUGGGGUCCAGGGGCCUGAGCCACCGGGACAGGUGCAGUGGCUGCUGGAGACAUGGUGGUAAAUGUGGAAUACACUCCUAUGACAUAAUGUCUGGUGUGGUAUAUAAACCAGUCACAGGCACUUGCCAUCAUUAUCUGGCACUGUAUUACAUACUGUACAUGAGUGUGUGUGCUAGGCUUAUCUUGGUUUUGGUUUUUAACAUUUUUUGUGAAUUUUUUGAGACAGAGUUUCACUAUGUAGUUCAGGCUGGCCUGAAACUAUGUAGCCACGGCUGGCUUCAAACUUGUGGCGCUCCUCCUGCCUCAGCCUCCAGAGAGCUGGGACUGGAGGCAUGGACCACCAUGGCUGAGCAGCAUUGGUCCAGUGACUGUUACCCCGGAAGAGCCGAGACUGGCUUCCCUUUGGAGGCUCAGGCCCGGGCAGGUCUGAAGCUGGACGUGCCGUACGUUCCAGCGCUGUAUGGAUACCGGAGGGGGCCUGAGGACAGCCUGCCAGCAGAGGGCGCAGGGACACCGCCCCUUCCAUGCCCAGUGCCCUGCACUGAGGGGCGUUACAUGAACUUCCCCCGACUCGUCUGGUCUCACUCGCAUCUUCCCAGUGAGGGAACUGCUGCAGCGACUGGCCAGGUCGGAAGCCUGGAUUAGUAAGGUGCAGCUCACCUGCAGAGCCGCCACCUGCAGGUAAAAGGCUGGUGCAUUCAUAAGCCUGAACCCCGAAACCCAGAAGGUUGAAAUGCCAAAGGACUUAACGUUUCCCCUGUCGGAGAACUAAUGACACUCUUCUCAAACUCUUCUGUUAAAUUGAAAGAGAAGGGACAAGGAGGGCUGCCUGGGCCCUGAUCUACCGCAGGAAGGACAGCCACACCUUCCCCCACCAGGAGCUGCCAUCGCUCAAGCACCAGGAAGGUAGCUGUGCAGGCGCCCCUGAACCCCCCACACACACGUGCACUCUCAGACCUCCUGAUUGAGCCAGUCUUUGGACCCAUUCUGCAGAGGCAGAGGUGGUCAUAGAGGGUAUUUUUCUGAGUUCCCAACGUUGAAUAUCUUUAAAGAAAGGGCGUGGGAAACCUAUAGUAGAAUGGUGUGGAGUUCAACCGUUCAAAAGGUUGGGGAACUCAAUCUGGGCCUUGCAGCCCAAGGUCAGUCUGCAUCAUUGGGGUUCAGCCAUCAGCUAACUGAGAUCAGGGGUCUUGAGUCCUAGCACUGUCUGAGCCCCCAUCCUAAAUGGUAAAUAUACCAUAUUGAAAAGUUUGUUCACUGCAGACAUGUUUUGG
rnacentral:lncRNA from 1 species